rnacentral:lncRNA from 1 species
CAUACGCACACGCACACACACACACACACACACACACACACACACACACACAGAGAGAGAGAGAGAGAGAGAGAGAAAGACAGCACAACAUCAGCAGACAUCUCAGAGUUGUGAUGGAUGUUUCUUCUCUUCAGCUCAACACAAGAAAUUCAUUCAUGGCAGAAGAUCUGUGGAGCAUCACAAACCGAAGGAGAAUUAAACAGAUAGAAAAAGAAAAAUGCCAAACAAAGAGAGCAAGAGACAAUCUACUGAACCAGAAGAGAAAAACACCCCGAAACUAAUCAGACGGAGCAGCAUUAAUAGCGGAAAACCAAACUUUUCUGAUGAUCCAGACAGUUUUAUUCUGACUGACUCUGAUGAGACAGGAGCAGCUCCUUUCACCGGACCAGCAGAAUAUAAUUUAUAUUCUUUAUACUCACUGAUUACAGUUUUUUACAAUCAUUUUUGCAUUAAUAACAGAACCUUCAUGUCAUUUCUCAAAACUCUAGACUCAAAACAUUAUUUGUAACACAGGCUGCCCAAAACUUUGCAUAUUGCGUUCAUAUCUUCAAAAAAGCCUUGCAUUUGCAGAAGCAAAAAAAAAAAGAAAAAGUAUUUUGGUUCAAAAAACUAAUUUAUGAAAUAUCAUAGGAACAUUACGUUAGCUCACCCACACACAAGAUACCCAUAGUUUCACGGUGUAUUUGUUAGUACAAGCAUUAAAUAUAGUUGUACAAGAUAUGUGAUUCAGGUUUCAUUCUUGUAUUGUAGACUAGAGAGAAUAGUACAGACACAGUGGUAUCAUUGAAUUACUGUAAUGUGAAAUUUACCGAGGAAAUAGAAAUCACAACAUAGGUUUUCCAAAGGAAAAAAUUAGAUUAAAAAAAACAAACAAAAAAAACUGUACUGUUAACGUAAGUGUUCCCCACUGCACUAUGCAUCCAUGUUUCCAUCAACC